AAUCGAUCAGCAGAAAAAAAAGAAGCUAAUGCGGUCAUGGAUGUUAUCCACAAACAGCAGCAGCAGUCAGGCCUGUUUUCUCCUUUCAUUAUUUCAUCUUUUUUUAAAUUUUUGCCCAAUUUUAUCAAUUAUUUAUUCAUUCUCUAGAAUGUAUGUUAUUUGUGGUGAAUUAAACUAUUUUUCCCUUAAAUACAGUUUGAAUCUAGGCUUACUACAUCGAUUUUGUAGAAUUAAAAUAAUUUUAUGAUGCAAAUUUUGAAAUUUUAGGUUUUUAAAACGUUUUCAGUUUAAGCUUGAAUAACAUUUUUUAGACCUCUUUGUCAUAUUUAGAUUCAACUAAUGUUAUUAGACCAAAAUUGGCAUGAUUUAUUGUUGUUGAUAAGAAUUUGUUGCUUUCGAUCUUCAUCUAUAAGAAAAACGUGACAUGUGAAAAAAGCAUUCUAGGGAAACUAGUGAUUAGGAAUUAACAAUAUAUAAAUAUUUACUACCAUGGUUAAAUAUAUUCAUCUAAUCGGAUUUAAUUAGUGAAUUUUUUGUAAAAUCCAUCAUUAUGUGAAGAUAAGUAGUUGGAUUAGUGAGAGAACUCCUUUGGUGCUUGUACAAACUGGUGCCCUUUAUGCAGAUGACAGGACAUGCCAUGCUGAAUAAGUUAAAUACCAUUCUUACUACACAAAUAGGGUCUAUGACUGGAUUUAAAAAAAGCGGAUACGUGUCAAAUAUUCAUUAAACACGCAGUACCUGUUACCUUAUCCUGUCAAAUGCCCCUGUUUGAGUAACUUUAUUCGGUUAAUGCAGCAGCAUUGGUAGUUGAUUUUAUCACGUCAACAGAAAGUUUAUCUUGGCAGCAGCAGCCUUGUUGCAUGUUCUAUAUAUAUAUAUAUAUUCCAAAUUAAGCCACAUAAAUCUUGAUCAGGGAUAAUAUCAAUGUACUUGUUACAUUAAGGGAACAUUCGUAGUGAUUGAAGAAGUGUCGAGACUCAAGAGAUCAAAGAAGUGAGUUGAUCCCUUUCCUCAAUUUUGAAAGUUAUGAAUAUUAAGUUCGGAAGGCUAUAAGUACUUUAUUACAUGAACCCACGUAGCAAUUGAAACUACGAAAUCCAUGGUAAAUUAGAUCAAACCCAAGAAAGCUAAAAAUCAAUGUUUGAAAGCUUGACCCAAUAAAUUCUUGAACCAAAGAACCAAAACAAUCGCAAACAAUAUAUUGACCCCAUGAUCACAAAACUUAUGAACCUUUUUGAAUUGUUGAACGCUACAAGAAAUUAAUCCUUAAUAAUUUCGAAAAUUAAUUCAACAAAGAACAAGUUGAAAGCAAAAUAUGCUUUAUUAUCUCUCAAUUUUUGUGUUUUACAAUGAAAAGAAUGAGUCCUAUUUAUAAACAACUCAUAAAAACCUAGUUAAAACUGAAUUUAAGUUUAAAUAUACCAAAAGAUAUCUUAAAAUAAAAUUUUAACUAAAAUACGAGAUUACGCGAAAUUUGAAAAAUUAGCAUCCCAGAUUUGUACCGUGGCCGCAUAGUUGUGGAGGAUGCAGUCGCAUAGGCUAGCCUUUAACCUCCAAUGUGCUCUCGGUAUAUAUCUAUGCAAUCACAUGCAUAGAUACACUAUGCAAUCGCAUAGGGUUAGGAUCCAUCAUGUUUCGUCGUCCAUGCCAAACAUGAAAGUUAUCCCUUUGCUUGUUGUGAUCUUUGUUUCAUUCACUAUAGCUUAAACAAGUAAUCCCAUGGCUUCUUUGACCCUUUUUUGCUUAUGACCUAAUAAUUGGUUCUUCCUCCACAAUCAAUGAAUCUUUUUCCUUACUAGCUUUCAUACCACGGAUCUCAUCAUUCCCUUCAUCUUCAAAAGGACUCAUCUUUGAAUUUCUUCUAUCUUUAAAAGGAUUCGUCCUCAAAUCUCCGUAUGCAUCAAACAAGGAAAUAUUAGAAAUAUUGAAAGUAGUAGAAAAAUUAUACUAACCUAAAAGAUCCAAUUUAUAACCUUUGUCGUGGAUCAUUUCAAGCACUUAAAACAAUCCAUCUCCUCUUGGUUGCAAUUUUGACUUCCUUUGAGUCGAAAAGCAUUCAUUUCUCGUAUGUACCCAAAUCCAAUCUCCUUUGGAUUACUCCAAUAAGCUGGCUUAUUGGGAAUGACAGCUUUAGGUACGAAGUCAAUUUGAUAUUCAAUGCCUCAAAUGGGUGGUAACUCACUAUGCAUAUCCUUCGAAAACAAGUCUUCAAAUUCCUGCGACAGAGAAGUAGCCAAACUAGGGAGGGGUGUCUUAGAUUCUUCAAAGUUAAGGAGUGAUUAUUUAUAAACCAAUAAGAUCAUGAGUCGGUUCUCAAUUACUUCUCUCUUCAACUCACUCCAAUUCACGAAGAAACUCACUUUCGACUUUUCAAUCAUUUCGUAAGAUUCUUUUUUUUUUUACUCUCUUGUGGCUCUACUCUUUUUUCUCACAAUUAGCCACCUCACUUUUCUCUCUCUUAGUCUCUUGUUGUGA
rnacentral:lncRNA from 1 species